AUGAAGCCUGAUCCUAGUACUAUACUAGUAGGUAGGGCUUAUUAUGGAAUAGGAAUAGAAAGCCCGGGAGGUCCCCCCGUGUUUAAUAGCAUAUCUAGUUUCUGCCUGGUUUGCUCUUUCUUUGCCGCGGACCAAUUAGCGAGGAGAGCUUAUGGACAAUCCAUUAGGAUUCCGGCGGCUUUUGCCACUUAUGAUCCGUGUUCACAAGAGCGAGACGGUUCAAUGUCUUACAAUGUUCAAGCAGCAUUCUUGCCGGAAUGA
rnacentral:lncRNA from 1 species